rnacentral:tRNA from 1 species
AUAGUCGUGGCCGAGUGGUUAAGGCGACACACUAGAAAUCUGUUGGGAUUUCCCGCGCAGGUUCAAAUCCUGCCGACUACG